UUUCUGACGACUACACUGAUGAAACAAGCAGCAACAAGCGGAUAUCAUAGCACAGAAGAUUGAGCAGUCCAAAGUUAAGGGACACUCUUCCCAGUCCAGCGAUGCACACCAUUUAGACGGGGAAGGAGAUGAAAGCCCACUCUUAAGUGGUGAUGUCUGCUCCAAGCACACCUCCUCCGUCUGACACCGGAGCUCUGCUCUCAGAAGAAGAGAGGAAUGUCGAGCUGCGAUGGAGCGAACACAUGUGAAUGUGUUUGCUAACAAGGGCAUGUUGGGAUCUGUGGGGGAAACCGGAGGACCCGGAGGAAGCCCACGCAUGCAUGGGGAGAAGACGCAACUCCACGCAGAAAGGCCACAGGCGAGUUUCGAACCUGCAACCUUCUUGCUUCGAGGCAACAGUGCUAACAACUGCGCCACCAUCAAUCAAUCAAUCAAUACUUUAUUAAUCCCAGAUGCAGCCCAAUUCACAAAACCAGACCUAAAAACGUUCUUUGCUCAUUUUAACAGGCUUAUUCUGAUUGUUGUGCUGUGCAUCUGUGUCUGCCUCAUGACUUUGAUGUAGGAAGCUUUUGAACUACAUGAUCUGACUGAGAUGGCUAGUCCACACGUAGCCGUUUUUUUUUUAAACGAAUAUUCGCCCCUCCAAAAACUUGCAUCCACACCACCUCGUUUUAAAACAAAACUCUGUCCACACGUACCCGGAUAAAUACGUUGUUAAGGACAUGCCAGACCUGUAGGCGGCAGUACUUCCCCCGUUCCUAACCUCGUCCUUCGUCUGUGGUCUUCCGCAAGGAGCAGUAAUUCCACUUGCAAAAACAAACAAGCAAAAAGCGCUUUUACAAUUGAUAAAGCGAGCGCAGCUCUGAGGGCAUCCAUGCUGUCGGCUAGUGUAAACACAGGUCGCACACGUGAUGUCAGCAUUUUUUUGUUGCGGAAAGUGACGUUGCGGACCUUAAAACUCCGGUUUUGUCUGUCCACACACAGACACCCAAAACUGAGAAAACGCAGAUCUUCACUUUGGCCGGAGUUUUUAAAAAGAUCUGUUUUGGUGUGAAAAAACUCCGUUUUCGUGUGGAUGACAGGCCAAAACGUAGAAAAAUGUCUACGUUUUGGCAGAUCCCCGGCUACAUGUGGACAGGGCCUGAGAUGGCUAGCGAGUCACCUCCCUUCUGAUUUACACUCAGUAACAGCACCACACAUGUCUGCUCUUUACCUAAUACUUUACACCCUUUAUGUUCAGGUCUCUAAUUACUUUAUUACAUUAAUCACAAAUAAGUUAAUGGAGUUGAAUACUUAAUUUCAUCAUUUUGGAUUAGAUCAUUUGAUUUACUUAAGAGUGUUCAUGCUAACAAAGCUGAGA